ensembl:lncRNA
UUUAUUUUAAAAUCUGAGGUGUCUCAGAAAAUGAAAUACCACUGGCACAAAUACUGACAACCAGCUUUCCAUGAGGGGAUGUGAAGCAAGGCAGAUAACCAUUACGGCCCUUUCAGGUAUUUCUGCAGGGAGUGCAGAUAGUUUUCAUCUUCAGAAUGACCCCACUGAUCCCAGAGAGCUUCUGUGGAAAAGCAGCAAUAUCUUGAGUUCAUCUGUGUCAAAAGCUGGUGAUAAACCUCAGACUUUUACCAGAGAUAAGAGGAUCAUAUUGCACAGUGGCCUUAAAGCAUGCUAAGAUUUGGAUUCUUGUGAAAGGAGGGCAUUACUAACUCUGGAUUUUUCAUAUUCUUUCUUACUCCAAAAAUGAAGUGAUUGUACAAUGCAGGGUACGUGUGGAGCUCUGUGAAAGUCGGUUUGCUGAGGAAGAAAGCCUUAAAAACACUCCUCCAUUUUUUGAUGUGUUGUUUUGUAUUGAAUAAAAGCGCUCUGUUGUAGAAAAUUAAAGUUUCAUUUAAAAGAUGAAAAUGAGGAGGGGAGGACGGACCUGGACAGGAAAACUCCAAAGCAGAGAAAUACCUCUUCAGCUCACACUGGGAAAAGAUAAAACAGAAACCAGGUUGGCCCAAUCUCAUCUUCAUUUCCUAACUGAUUGCGUCAGCCAUCAAACACCGCAGCAAGGGUGGGGACCUCACUGCCCUGGGGUCAUACGGCCUCUGCCCCAGUGGCUGCCAUGCUGAGGGGCAAAUGGCUCCUUCGUGGCACUGUAUCUCUGUGAAUCUAAUCUGACCUCCAUGCAAAACUGCCAGCUUGGUAUUUGCUAGCUCAGGUGCUGCUAUCACCUCCAUGUUGACAGAAAGAUAUACCGGUAAUGGCUGGGACUCUGCGGUGAGCACUGCCAACCUCCGUACCAAGGGGAAUGAAUUGCAGGAUUGGGGCCCACUAUGAAGCACAUAAAAGGGAUCUAGAAAAGUGCUGGAGCCCAGGCAGCAUUAGAUAAACGGUGGUGAGAAAGCCUGCAUUUAUAGCACUAAUGUAGCUGUGUUUCCUGAAAAAAAAAAAAAAAGAGAACAAGAAAUUCCCCAGUGUAGGCAUACUUAUUGUUUGCCAAAAAGCAUUCUGAAUUCCUCAAUAAUCAGUCAGGAAGCGGUAAAAUCUG